CAGUCUGUGUGCAAAGCAUCCCCCGGUAGGGGCCAUCUGUCUGUGCCCUCCAGCAUCCAGAGCAGACAGGGUCUCACUCUGUUACCCAGGU
rnacentral:lncRNA from 13 species